rnacentral:misc_RNA from 1 species
GAUGAAGAACGCAGCGAAAUGCGAUACGUAAUGUGAAUUGCAGAAUUCAGUGAAUCAUCGAAUCUUUGAACGCAUAUUGCGCUCUCUGGUAUUCCGGAGAGCAUGCUUGUUUGAGUAUCAGUAAACACCUCAACUUCCAUAUCUUUUUUGAAAUGGGAGUUGGACUUGAGUGAUCCCAACGCUUUUCCUCACCGAAAAGUGGCGGGUUACUUGAAAUGCAGGUGCAGCUGGACUUUUCUCUGAGCUAUAAGCAUAUCUAUUUAGUCUGCCUAAAAAACAGAUUAUUACCUUUGCUGCAGCUAACAUAAAGGAGAUUAGUUCUUGUGCUGACUGAUGCAGGAUUCACAAAGACAGGCUUCGGCCGACUUUGUAAACUCGAUCUCAAAUCAAGUAAGACUACCCGCUGAACUUGAGCAUAUCGAUAAGCGGAGGA